rnacentral:rRNA from 1 species
AACGAACGCUGGCGGCAGGCUUAACACAUGCAAGUCGAACGAAGUCUUCGGACUUAGUGGCGCACGGGUGAGUAACACGUGGGAAUAUACCUCUUGGUGGGGAAUAACAUCGGGAAACUGAUGCUAAUACCGCAUACGCCCUUCGGGGAAGGAUUAUUCGCCGAGAGAUUAGCCGCGUCCGAUUAGCUAGUUGGUGAGGUAAUGGCUCACCAAGGCGACGAUCGGUAGCUGGUCUGAGAGGAUGAUCAGCCACACUGGGACUGAGACACGGCCCAGACUCCUACGGGAGGCAGCAGUGGGGAAUAUUGGACAAUGGGCGAAAGCCUGAUCCAGCCAUGCCGCGUGAGUGAAGAAGGCC